UUGCAAUCAUGUGAAUUUCUCAAUUAAACCUUCAAGUAGAAAUACAUGAGCUUUUUAACCCUGAGCAAU
ensembl:snoRNA SNORD36 Small nucleolar RNA SNORD36